AUUGAACGCUGGCGGCAGGCCUAACACAUGCAAGUCGAACGGUAACAGGAAGAAGCUUGCUUCUUUGCUGACGAGUGGCGGACGGGUGAGUAAUGUCUGGGAAACUGCCUGAUGGAGGGGGAUAACUACUGGAAACGGUAGCUAAUACCGCAUAACGUCUCAAGCCCAAAGAGGGGGACCUUCGGGCCUCUUGCCAUCGGAUGUGCCCAGAUGGGAUUAGCUAGUAGGUGGGGUAACGGCUCACCUAGGCGACGAUCCCUAGCUGGUCUGAGAGGAUGACCACCCACCCUGAACCUGAGCCCCGGUCCAACCUCUGAGGGGAGGCACCGGUGGGGAAAUUUGGCAACGGGGGGGAAGCCUGCAGAAGCCACGCCGGGUUAAUGAAGAAGGCCUUCGGGUUGUAAAAUACUUUCCGGGGGGGGAAGGGGAGUAAAGUUAAAACCUUUGCCCUUUAACGUUCCCGGCAAAAAAACCACGGCCAACCUCCGG
rnacentral:rRNA from 1 species